CCACAGCAACUCGGGAUCCAAGCCGCGUCUGCGACCUAUACCAUAGUUCACGGCAACACCAGAUCCUUAACCCACUGACUGGGGCCAGGGAUCGAAGCCGCAUCCUCAUGGAUACUAGUCAGGUUCAUUACCACUGAGCUACAACAGAACUCCCUCUCUCUCUUUUUUUAAACAUUCAUAAAUACUUUAAAAGGGAGUUCCCCUUGUGGCUCAGCAGUAAGGAACCCAGCUAGUAUCCAUGAGGAUGUGGGUUCAAUCCCUGGCCUUGCUCAGCGAGUUAAGGAUCUGGAAUUGCCAUAAACUGAGGACUAGGUCAAAGGUGCAGCUCAGAUAUGGUGUUGCCAUGGCUGUGGCAUAGGCCUGCAGCUGCAGCUCCAAUCCAACCACUGGCCUGGGAACUUCCGUAUGCCACAGGUGUGGCCAUAAAAAAGUAAUAAUAAUAAUAAAAUAAAUAAAUACAUAGUUUAAGAAUCUUAAAUAUAUGCUUUCAUUUUUUUUCUCCCAGCCUUUUUGCUUUGGUUCUCAUACGUUUUUACUGCUACAUAUUUUGUAAACUCACAAUACAUUGUUUUGUUUCAUUUCUUUCUUUCUUUGUUUUUAUGGCCACACCCACAGCAUACAGAAGUUCCUGGGCCAGGGAUUGAAUCCCAGCCACGGCUGUGACCUAUGCCAUGGCUGCAGCAAUGUCAGAUCAUUUAACCCACUGUAUCAGGCCAGGGGUCAAACCCGAACCUCGGACAGUGACCUGAGCUGCUACAGUCAGAUUCUUAAUCCACUGUGUCACAGCAGGAGCUCCUACAGUGUUUUAUUUUGUUUUAAACUAAAGACGGGAUUAAGAUGGCAGAGUAGAAGGACUAGAGCUCACCUUCUCUCAUAAAAGCAACAAAAUUAUAGCCAACUGAUGAACUACCUCCAAACAAACAGACUGCAAACUAUCAAAAAAGAUAUCCUGCUCCAGAAGACAAAGAGGAGGCCACAUCAAGACACUAGGAGGGGCGAUUAUGCCAUAUAAGCAACCCCAUACCCGCUGGGUGGGCAGCCCACAGAAUGGAAAGUAACUGUAUCACAGAGACUCACCUAUGGGAGUGAGAGUUCUGAGCCCCACGUCAGGUCCUCAUGCCCAGGGAUCUGGUAUUGGAAGAAGGAGUCCCCGGGGCACCUGGCAUUGAAGGCCAGUGGGGCUUGUGCACAGGAGCUCCACAGGACUGGGGGAAACGGAUACCCCAUUCUUGAAAGGUGCACACAGGCUCUUAUGUGCACUGGGUCCCAGGGCAAAGCAGAGGCUCCAUAGGGAUUUGGAUCAGACCUGACUGCAGUUCUUGGAGGAUCUCCUGGGAAAACAGGGUGACUGUGGCUUGUCGUGGGGGAAGGACAUUGGAGUCAAAGGUCUCGGGAAAAAUCGUCAGAGUGUAUUCCUCUAGAGGUGGCCAUUUUGGGGAAAGCUGGCCCCACCCAUCAGUGCUGAGAAGCCCCAGGCCAAACAAUAAUCCAGGUGGGAUCAGAGCCCCACCUGUCAGCAGACAGGCUGCUAAAGACCCCCCCACAUACAGCCAGCUUCACAUCUCACCCACACAAAGCCCCCACCCACCAGAGGAAUAGGAAUAAGCUCCACCUACCAGUGGGCAGGCACCAGUCCCUCCCAUCAGGAAGCCUGCAGCAAGCCCCCUUACCAACUUCAGCCACAAGGACAGACACCACAAAUAAGAGAGGCUACAACUCUAUUGUCUGUAAAAAGGAGACCACACCAAAAAUCUAUACAAAAUGAAAAGGCAGAGAAUUAUGACUCAGAUAAGGGAGCAAGAAAAAUCCCCAGGAAAAUCAGCUAAGUGACCUGGAGAGUAUCAGCCUCCAUGAAAAAGACUUUAGACUAAUGAUAGUGAAGAUGAUUCAAGACAUUGGAAAUAAACUGGAGGCAAUGAUUGAUUAACUACAAGAAACACUGAGCAAAGAAAUACAACAGUUGAAGAUUAAGCAAGCAGAAAUGCAAAAUACAAUAACGGAAAUAAAAAAUUCAUUAGAAGCAACUAAUAGCAGAAUUCAGGAGGCAGAAAAAUGAAUAAGCAAGGUGGAGGACAGACUAGUGGAAAUCACUGAU
rnacentral:lncRNA from 1 species